rnacentral:sRNA from 22 species
AUUUUAUUGAAAGAUAGACUUUGUGAGGCCUAUAUUAAGCGCACUUUGGGACUCUCCCUUAGUGCUUUUUUGAUUUCU